rnacentral:misc_RNA from 1 species
AAUGUCGUAACAAGGUUUCCGUAGGUGAACCUGCGGAAGGAUCAUUAAUGAAAUGCAAGGACGCUCUUUUCAGAGGUCCGACCCAAAGUCAUUUUCCUUUACACUGUGCACAUACACUAUUCUACACCAUUUUUUGAUACGCAAUAGUCUAAGAAUGUAAAACUCAGUCUCGAAAUGAGCAAUAAAGUAAUAAAU